AAAAAUUUGCAGACUCGCGUAUUUAGCGUUUCACACAUAACUUUUUUGUGAAUAAGGGAUUUCAAAUUAAUUAUUUUCGCGAUAAUUUAUUGAGUGCAUUACGUCUACUACGGUCCUAUGUUAAUACACAUAGUAAUUUCCGAAAUAUUUUCGGCAACGUGUCACGAGUUAACCAACGGGCUUAACCGGCCUACUUUAUAAUAUGCGCAAUGUGCGCUGUACGUAAACGUAAUACAUCGGAUAAUAAUAUGUGUGUAGAAUCCGCGAACCGUCCCGAGGUACAUAAAUCGACUGGCUGGUUGACGGGAAAUUACACGAGUGUAUACGUGCGUGGAAAUAAUACAAUUAAACCUAUUGGCAUCGAACACGUCCGCGAAAAUGUAAUACGAUUAAACCGCGUGUAACGGGUGGCAAUAAUAUAAUAAUGUUAUUAUGUUGAUUUCAGCACGUUAAAAUAUAUUAUAUUAUGCUAAACGCACAGACGAUAUCUACACGUGUAUCGAAAACUCCUG